ACAUAAAUACUGCACAGUGUCUUCAUAGAUUCACACCUGAACUCAGAAGGAGAAUUCAGGUCCUCACCUACCAGGAAAAGAAAGAUUUCUUGAAGGAAAAGAGCAAUGGACCUGAUUCCAAACUUUUCCACAGAGACAUGGGCACUGCUGGUUACCAUUCUGGUGCUCCUCUACCUGUAUGGAACCUCUUCUCAUGGACUUUUUAAGAAGCUGGGGAUUCCUGGCCCCAAACCUCUGCCUUUUGUUGGGACGAUGCUUAACUAUAAGAUGGUACAACCCUAUGCAUGAGUCUGAAGAGCAGGAAUAUGGGAGACUAGGUGAUGUUGCCUAUAAACCUCGGA